UACGAAGGGGGCUAGCGUUGUUCGGAAUUACUGGGCGUAAAGCGCGCGCAGGCGGUCUUCCAAGUCAGUGGUGAAAGCCCGGAGCUCAACUCCGGAACUGCCAUUGAAACUGUAAGACUUGAGGAUGAGAGAGGUGAGUGGAAUUCCCAGUGUAGAGGUGAAAUUCGUAGAUAUUGGGAAGAACACCGGUGGCGAAGGCGGCUCACUGGCUCAUAUCUGACGCUCAGGCGCGACAGCGUGGGGAGUCAAACAGG
rnacentral:rRNA from 1 species